UACGUAGGGGGCAAGCGUUGUCCGGAAUUACUGGGCGUAAAGGGAGCGUAGGCGGUCUUUUAAGUUAGAUGUGAAAUACCCGGGCUCAACUUGGGAGGUGCAUCUAAAACUGGGGGACUUGAGUGCAGGAGAGGAAAGUGGAAUUCCUAGUGUAGCGGUGAAAUGCGUAGAUAUUAGGAGGAACACCAGUGGCGAAGGCGACUUUCUGGACUGUAACUGACGCUGAGGCUCGAAAGCGUGGGGAGCAAACAGG
rnacentral:rRNA from 1 species